AUUGAACGCUGGCGGCAUGCUUUACACAUGCAAGUCGAACGGCAGCGCGGGCUUCGGCCUGGCGGCGAGUGGCGAACGGGUGAGUAAUGCAUCGGAACGUGCCCAGUAGUGGGGGAUAGCCCGGCGAAAGCCGGAUUAAUACCGCAUACGACCUGAGGGUGAAAGCGGGGGACCGAAAGGCCUCGCGCUAUUGGAGCGGCCGAUGUCGGAUUAGCUAGUUGGUGGGGUAAAGGCUUACCAAGGCGACGAUCCGUAGCUGGUCUGAGAGGACGACCAGCCACACUGGGACUGAGACACGGCCCAGACUCCUACGGGAGGCAGCAGUGGGGAAUUUUGGACAAUGGGGGCAACCCUGAUCCAGCCAUGCCGCGUGCGGGAAGAAGGCUUUCGGGUUGUAAACCGCUUUUGUUCGGGAAGAAAUCCUCUGGGCUAAUACCCCGGGGGGAUGACGGUACCGGAAGAAUAAGCACCGGCUAACUACGUG
rnacentral:rRNA from 1 species